rnacentral:lncRNA from 10 species
CCCAAGCAGAGCAAAAAGGCUCCUUGGUGAGGCCUUCCUGGCCUAUACAGAAGAGAUUUGUUUUCUCUUUGAGCUCUGAUAGCCUGACCGUCCCACAUCAGACCUCUGUGCUGGUGCAGAGGAGGGCUCUGCCAGGAGGGCUCCCAGAGAGAUGCACAAACACUGGCGGGUUAACACUCCGACAUGCAGCUCUUCCUACAAAGCAUUGACUGGAUGGUACUGAAGCUAAAAAAUGGAGACUCACUUGUAUCAACCAUAGUAAAGAGCCUGUAAGAGGACGCAGUUCCCCCUGCUUUCAGCAGCAAUGAAGAGGCUCAUUUUCCUUGGAGUUUCUUUGUUGUUGGGGGGUUGGUUUCUAGCAAACUGACCCAAGAAGGCUAAUGGCCGAGGAAAAAACCAGAUAUAUUCUGGAAAAGAAGAGGAGGAGGAAGAAGAAUGACUGUAAAGGAAGGAGCAGUACUGUUUUCAUGAGGACCUACUAUGUGCCAGACAUUAUUCUAGGUGCUGGGGCUACCAUGGGAAACUUGCAGCUACUUGGGAGGCUAAGGUGGGAAGAUCGCUUGAGCCCAGGAGGUCGAGGCUGCGGUGAACCAAGAUUGUGACACUGCACUCCAGCCUGGGCAACAGAUGCUGUGUGAAGAUGAAGGCAGAGAUCAGGCUGAUGCUUAUGGAAAGCCAGAGAUUGCCAACAAACCACCAAAAGCUAGGAGAGAGGCCUGGAACAGAUUCUCUCUGAGUCCUCAGAAGGAACCAACCCUGCCAACACUGUGAUCUUGGACUUCUAAACCCCAGAACUGUGAAAUAAUAAAUGUCUGAUGUCU